CCUACGGGUGGCUGCAGUCGGGAAUCUUCCGCAAUGGGCGAAAGCCUGACGGAGCGACGCCGCGUGAGUGAUGAAGGCCUUCGGGUUGUAAAGCUCUGUGGGGAGAGAAGAAUAAGUUCAAGCCAAUACCUUGAAUGAUGACGGUAUCUCCUUAGCAAGCACCGGCUAACUCUGUGCCAGCAGCCGCGGUAAGACAGAGGGUGCAAACGUUGUUCGGAUUUACUGGGCGUAAAGCGCGUGUAGGCGGCUUGGCAAGUCGGAUGUGAAAGCCCACG
rnacentral:rRNA from 1 species